GAAAAUAAUUUUUAUUUGACUUUAUAAGCCUAAACUGUUUCUUUUAUUUUAUUAAUAAAAGGACAAAAUGUUUUUUGUUUUUCUAUGGUUUGGCAGAUCGUUUGUGGCUCAUGGUGUGCUGAAUGGCCAAAAAACACAUCCUACUCUUUUCCUCUGUCUACGAAGCAACACGUCAGGGCUGAUAGCUUCAUGGAUAUUACCGUCAUAUAAUUAACUUCAUAGGGGUAUAACUGUCACUUCAAUCUCCACAAAAAGAAACGUAUGAUGCUUGUUCCAUUGAGGCCCAUGUUCUCAUACCUUUUACCGACUUAUCUUUAAUAAUAAAAUAAAAUAAUAAAAAAUCUCCCCUUUUAAAAAUACUCUCUUAAACUUUUUUUAUUUCUCUCUCUUCUCUCUCAAAAUCGCCGUCAUCCAAACACUCCCUUAUCCCCUCUCCCCAUUUCCCCAUCAUUUCCAUUUCAGCUCCUCAACUCAAUAAAUCAAAAAUUACUCAAUUUUUCUCUCUAGAAAGUUAAACUUGUUCAAGGCUAAGAAAACAUGGCGCAGAAGAGAGAGAAAGAAGAGACGGAGUUGAAGGUUCCAGAAACCAUACCUAUACGUACAACGACUAUUACGGGUACCGACGACCCGACCCGUGCAUCAGAUCCGAAACUCACUAACUUCAACGGGUUAAGACCUAGAUAAGAAACCAUACCUUUACGUACUACGACUAUUACGGGUACCGAUGACCCGACCCGUGCAUCAGAUCCGAAACUCCCUAACUUCAACGGGUCAAGACCUAGAUCCGAUCUAGUUUCUCAGCCGCAGCCGGAGAAAAAGGUCGUCAGCGAGGACAAUAACAGGCGAUCGAUGAAGAGGCCGAGGGAGGAAGCUAAUCGUUGCUCGGGAAUCGGUUGCCGGAGGAAAGUCGGAAUAAUCGGAU
rnacentral:lncRNA from 1 species